AAUGUCGUAACAAGGUUUCCGUAGGUGAACCUGCGGAAGGAUCAUUACCGAGUGAGGGCGCCCUCGGCGCCCGACCUCUCAACCCUUUGUGUGACCGUUACCUCUGUUGCCUCGGGGGACGACCCGGCCCUUGACCCGGACCGCGGCCCCGGAUGGACCACUCAUCAACGACUGCAGUCAAUGCGUCGGAGUGAUUGAAUGCAAAGUUCAAUCAAAU
rnacentral:misc_RNA from 1 species